GGUACGUAGCUGCAACCUGUUCUGCUUCCCUGAUGAGUGGCUCACUGUCUGGGCACAGCUGCCUCAUCGUAUCAGCUACUCUUGUGAUUCUUGGAGAAGUUGGAGUGGUUGAGAAGCAGCUUCCUCAGGAUACAGGAGAAUGAAGCAUGAUAGCUGCUCCAUCAAAUCCUUGCGCUCCUCUUCCUUCUCUGCCAGCCUAGCCUCCAGUCUAUGUCGCUCCACCAUGUACACCAUGUUCUUUGACAGGUUGACUGGGUUGUCCUGUGGAGCAAGGAUUUUAGAUACUGGUAGCCUCUGACUGCACGAUACUAUCAAUCAUUAUUUUCAAAUAUAUAAGCUAAGGCGAAGCAUUGACCUCAUGGUGAGCAUGUCAACAUCCUUGAUCUUGAUAGAAGAUGGGUCAUCCAAAGCCCCUGCCCUGUGAGCCAUGGUGACCUCAUGCUGGAACUGGACAGCUGACCCCUCUGAGAUGUCAUCCCUGAUGCUGGCGAGUUGAAGGCUCCUUCUCCGCUUUGUAGCUGGAGUGCUGUCUGCUGAACUUUUUUGGGGCUUCGUGAUUAGUUUUGUAACCAGAGGCUUUUCAUAUGUGAAGAAAGGCAGGAAAUUAAGUUGAGAUGGUCAUCUUAAAAUUAUAGUAUAACGUUUUUAUCCAUCAUGAAAACUGGGUCAUGAUCUCUAGAACACAAUGUGUCAGAAGGGAUAUUCCGCAUGGCACAACAAAAAUGAAAUGAAAUUAUUUAAAUGUUGACAAAGAUCAGCUUAUGGUAUGUUUGUUUUUUCUUCAUGAUAUCAACUAAAUUACAGCAAGACUUGAUUAAAAUGAAAUAUUAUUGAAUAUAA